rnacentral:rRNA from 1 species
GCUCAAAUUUGAAAUCUUCAAGGUCUUACCUUGACGAAUUGUAGUUUAAAGAAGUGUUUUCUGUUGGUGUUUUGGUAAAAGUUCUUUGGAAUAGGACAUCAUAGAGGGUGAGAAUCCCGUAUUUGACCAUUACUUCCAGCGUUGUGAUACACUUUCAAAGAGUCGGAUUGUUUGGGAAUGCAGUCCAAAAUGGGUGGUAAAUUUCAUCCAAAGCUAAAUAUUGGCGAGAGACCGAUAGCGAACAAGUACCGUGAGGGAAAGAUGAAAAGAACUUUGAAAAGAGAGUUAAACAGUACGUGAAAUUGUCAAAAGGGAAGCGUUUGACACCAGUGUUGUUUUCUCGAAAAUCAAUUAAAAAAAGUCGGAUUUUGUAUUGUUAAGACCUUAUCAGCUUACUGUACUCUUUUCUUGCUUUUUUUAAUGCACUUUUCGUUUAACAAG